rnacentral:miRNA from 1 species
ACCCGUCCCGUGCGUCCCCGGAC